AAUUUCAAUUCCAAAUCCUCGCCAUUGUGAAUUGUGAUCCUCUGCAGCCAUGGCUCUCGACGAUCUGAGCGACGAUCUCUACACCCAGAUGAAGUCUCUGCAACGGCAACUGGAGUUCUACGAAAUUCAAGAAGAAUACAUCAAGAAGGAACACAAGCAGCUCCGGCGAGAGCUUCUCCGCGCGCAGGAGGAGGUGAACCGCAUACGGUUGGGUCCGCUCAUCGUUGGAAAAUUCCUGGAGAUGAUCGAUCAGAACCACGGAAUCGUCGAGUCGACCACUGGCUAUAUUUACUGCGCGCGGAUUCUCAGCACCGUCGACCGCGAGCUUCUCACGCCUUCCUGCUCCGUCGGGCUGAAACGCGGUUUCCGCGCCAUCGUCGAAGUCCUGCCGCCCGAGGCCGACUCCAGCAUUUCGCUUCUCAGCAAUUCCGUGAGGCCCGACGUCAAUUACAGCGAUAUUGGAGGAUAUGACAUUCAAAAGCAAGAAAUUCGAGAAGCUGUAGAGUUACCUUUGACCCACCAUGAGUUAUAUCAGAAGAUUGGCAUAGAUCCUCCUCGUGGUGUAUUGCUAUAUGGUCCUCCUGGCACUGGCAAAACAAUGCUGGCAAAGGCUGUUGCUAACCAGACUAGUGCAUCCUUCAUUAGGGUUAUUGGCCCUGAAUUCGCUCAAAAGUACUUGGGAGAGGGUCCCAGAAAGGUGCGAGAAGUUUUCCGACUUGCUAGACAAAAUGCACCUGCAAUUAUUUUCAUUGAUGAAGUUGAUGCAAUAGCUACAAUUCGAUUCGAUGGUCAUAGUGCAGUUGAUAUGGAAAUUCAGCGAACUUUAAUGGAAAUGUUGAAUCAGAUGGAUGGAUUUGACCAGUCAGUUAAUGUAAGUGUUAUCAUGGCAACUAACCGAGCUGACACAUUGGAUCCAGCUCUUCUGCGUCCAGGAAGACUUGAUCGUAAAAUUGAGUUCCCUUUGCCAGAUAGACAUCAGAAGAGGCUUAUCUUUCAGGUUUGCACUGCUAAAAUGAAUUUGAGUGAUGAGGUGGACUUGGAGGACUAUGUCUGUCGACCUGAUAAAAUCAGUGCAGCUGAGAUCGCUGCUAUUUGUCAAGAAGCAGGUUUGCAUGCUAUAAGAAACAACCGGUAGCUAGUGUACCGGUGCUGACGUGGAAGCCAGCCUGGCGGAGCAGACGGAAGCGAAGGGCGGUGGUGAAGAGGUCUUCUUCGGUGGAGAAAGCAGAGCAUUGGAGCUGCAAUAUGGCGUCGAUCAUAUCUUCCAAGUGGUAAUCGAUUCCUAGCCGUUGGAUGUCAUCAAUGAGUUGGACUUGCUCAGUGCUUGUCUGCAGUUUUUGGUUUUUGAAGCUGUGGUGCGGCGCUCCCAUUGACGAUGGGAGACGGCGGAGAUGUCACAGCUGAGUGGCAGAUGGAGAAACGGCGGAGAGGAAUUGCGGCGCCGGCUGCUUGCAGUGGAAUUGAGGCCUUUUGGGAGCGACACAACGUUUGUGACAAGAUUAAUGAUAUGGUGGUGCUCCUUGCACAAGACAUCCUGUCCGAUAUCAAUAUGGAGUACUUUAUAUUUAAAUUCGGACUAUGAGUAAUGCUCACAUUCGAUAUGUAUAUCACUUUUUUGCUUUUGCAUAUAUACUAUACUAAAUACUCUAGUUGUAAUAUGUUAAAAAGAAGUUUAAAUAGAUAAGUUAGUAUUUUCUUUAAAUUCAA